GGAGUGGUUUCCUUCUCCUUCGCCAUGGCGUUGGCUGUCCUGCGCGUCCUGGACCCCUUCCCGACGGAGACACCACCGUUGGCGGUGCUGUUGCCUCCCGGGGGCCCGUGGCCAGCGACGGGGCUGGGGCUGGUGCUGGCACUGCGGCCGGCGAGCGAGAGUCCCGCGAAGCCCGCGCUGCUCGUGGCGGCCGUGGAAGGGUCCGGCGCCCAGGGCGAGCAGCGCGGGCCGGGGCCUCCGCCGCUGCUGGUGAGCCGCGCGCUGCUGCGGGUCCUAGCGCUGGGGCCCGGGGCGCGAGUACGAGCGCGGCUUGUGCGGCGUCCCCCGGCCCUGGGCUGGGCGUUGCUUGCCACGGCUCCGGGACCCGGGCUAGGGCCUCGAGUCGGGCCGCUGUUGGUGCGCCGCGGGGAGACCCUCCCCGUGCCCGGAUCGCGAGUGUUGGAGACGCGACCGGCCCUGCAGGGGUUGCUGGGCCCGGGGACACGGCUGGCCGUGACUGAGCUCCGCGGGCGGGCCAAACUGGGCCAGGAGAGUCGGGAUCACAGCCAUCCCCCGCCCCCGCCCGUAGUGUCGUCCUUUGCAGCUUCCCACUCGGUCCGGCGACUCCGAGGGGUUCUGGGAGGGACUGGAGAUGCGCUGGGUGUGAGCCGGAGCUGUCUCCGGAGUCUCGGACUCUUCCAGGGCGAAUGGGUCUGGGUGGCCCAGGUCGCAGAGUUACCCAACUCCUCGCAGCCGCGCUUGGCUCAAGUCCAGGUUCUAGAACCGCGCUGGGAGCUGUCUGAGAGACUGGGACCCAACUCCGGGCAGCAGCCGGGAGAGCCACUCGCUGACGGACUGGUGUUUCUGCCCGCCACUCUGGCUUUUAAUCUCGGCUGUGACCCCCUGGAAGUGGGAGAGCUCAGAAUUCAGAGGUAUUUGGAAGGCUCCAUCGCCCCAGAGAACAAAGGAAGCUGUUCACCACUGCCCGGGCCUCCGUUUGCUCGAGAGUUACACAUUGAGAUUCUGUCCUCGCCUCACUACAGUGCUAAUGGAAAUUAUGACCAUGUCCUGUACCGGCACUUUCAGACACCCAGGGUGGUCCAGGAAGGGGAUGUGUUGUGUGUGUCAACAGCUGGGCAAGUUGAGAUCCUGGAAGGAAGCCUGGAGAGACUGCCCAGGUGGCGGGAGAUGUUUUUCAAAGUGAAGAAAACGGUUGGAGAAGCCCCAGAGGGGCCAGCCAGUGCCUUUCUGGCUGAUACCACCCACACCUCUUUAUACCUGGCUGGCACCGCCCUGAGUCAUGUGCCAUCGCUGCCUUCAGGAAGGUCCCCACCCUGGGACAGCUUGUCUCCUCCAGGCCUGGAGGCCUUGGUAAAUGAGCUGUGUGCUAUCCUGAAGCCUCACCUGCAGCCCGGAGGAACAUUGCUCACAGGAACCAGCUGUGUGCUUCUGCAGGGUCCCCCAGGCAGCGGGAAGACCACAGCCGUCACGGCUGCAUGCAGCCGCCUUGGGCUCCAUUUGCUGAAGGUGCCCUGCUCCAGCCUCUGUGCAGACAGCAGUAGGGCCGUGGAGACAAAGCUGCAGGCCACCUUCUCCCGGGCCCGCCGCUGCAGGCCUGCAGUCCUCCUGUUGACAGCUGUGGACCUCCUGGGCCGGGACCGAGACGGACUGGGUGAGGAUGCCCGUGUUGCGGCCACACUCCGUCAUCUCCUCCUUGAUGAGGACGCUCUCAGCAGGUGCCCUCCUCUCAUGGUGGUGGCUACCACAAGCCGUGUCCAGGACCUGCCCACCGAUGUGCAGACGGCAUUUCCUCAUGAGCUAGAGGUGCCAGUGCUGUCUGAGGCUCAACGGCUCAGUAUCCUGCAGGCCCUCACUGCCCACCUUCCCUUAGGCCAGGAGGUUAACCUGCCCCAGCUGGCACGGCGCUGUGCGGGCUUUGUGGUGGGGGACCUCUAUGCCCUUCUGACCCAUACCUGCCGGGCAGCCUGCACCAGGAUCAGAGCCUCGGGCUCGGCAGGUGGUUUGAGUGAGGAGGAUGAGGGGGACCUGUGUGUGGCUGGCUUUCCUUUGCUGGCUGAGGACUUCGGGCAGGCAUUAGAUCAACUGCAGACAGCUCACUCCCAAGCUGUGGGAGCACCCAGGAUCCCUUCAGUGUCCUGGCACGACGUGGGCGGGCUGCAGGAUGUGAAGAAGGAGAUCCUAGAAACCAUCCAGCUGCCUCUGGAACACCCUGAGCUGCUCAGCCUGGGCCUAAGACGAUCAGGCCUUCUGCUCCAUGGGCCCCCAGGCACUGGCAAGACCCUGCUGGCCAAGGCCGUAGCCACUGAGUGCAGCCUCACCUUCCUCAGUGUAAAGGGACCGGAGCUCAUCAACAUGUAUGUGGGCCAAAGCGAGGAGAAUGUCCGGGAAGGUGAGUGAGUGAGCGGGGAGAGCGAGCGAGUCUCGGGCCCUUCCCCAACACCAUCUUCCCCAGUGGCUGCUCCUGGUCAGCUCAGUGGGCAAUGGCCGGGGAGGAACUGUCGGGCACAUGUGCCAUCCUUCUCCCCUGACUUGAAGCUCCUUGACACCACUCUCCUGCGAGCCUCUUUCUCAGUGUUUGCCAGGGCCAGGGCUGCUGCUCCCUGUAUCAUCUUCUUUGAUGAACUGGAUUCCUUAGCUCCAAGCCGCGGACGGAGUGGAGAUUCUGGAGGGGUGAUGGACAGAGUUGUGUCUCAGCUCCUAGCCGAGCUGGAUGGGCUCCACAGCACCCAGGAUGUGUUUGUGAUCGGAGCCACCAACAGACCAGACCUCCUGGACCCUGCCCUUCUGCGGCCUGGCAGAUUUGACAAGCUGGUGUUUGUAGGGGCGAGUGAGGACCGGGCCUCCCAGCUGCGUGUGCUGAGCGCCAUCACACGGAAGUUCAAGCUGGAGGCCUCUGUGAGCCUGGCAAACGUGCUGGAUUGCUGCCCACCCCAGCUGACUGGUGCAGAUCUCUAUUCUCUCUGCUCUGACGCCAUGAUGACUGCCCUCAAACGCAGGGUUCGAGACCUAGAGGAAGGGCUAGAGCUGCGGAGCUCAGCACUGCUGCUCACCAUGGAGGACCUGUUGCAGGCUGCAGCCCGGCUGCAGCCCUCAGUCAGUGAGCAGGAGCUGUUGCGAUACAAGCGCAUCCAACGCAAGUUUGCCGCCUGCUAGGAGCUGCCUGCCUGCCCUCUGCCUAUGCCCCCUGACUGAAGGUACCUCCCGCCUGUCGCCUGAAGGCUGCCUCCUCCCAGAGAUCCCUUGUGAGCCCUAGUGGGGGCCCCUAGUGCUCAGGAGGAGAGGCAGGGCUGGCAGCUAGGGGCUUGGCAGCCUGUGACCUGUGCGGAGACACUAGUUCUGGAGUAGAAAAUAAAGUGUAUACUGCCUCCUACU